CUUACAACGAGAAUGUCCUAAGGGCUUUCUUAUAUUUUUAUAGAGAAUAAGACAGGUUAAGAAGAACUAUUAGUUGUACCUUUUGUAUCAGGGGCGCUCAAAAGUGCAAUGAUAAAAAAAUCGAAUAAAUCAGGUCCUUUUAGUUAGUUUUAGUUGCAUUUAAAAGUUAUAGUUAAUUAAGAGGUGAAAAGUGAACGGUGGUUAUGUUAUCUAGUUGUUUUAGAAUUUAAGGGGCUAAGCUCUUAAAAAUCUAGAAUAAAUUUUAAUAAAAAGAGCUAGGCCUUAAAUUAGCCGUGUUAUUAGAUUGUUUCAAGUAAUUUUUUAUGUAAUUGAGUAAUAGAGUUAUAAGGACAAUGCUUAAAUAUAAAGUUUAGUAUAAAUAAUGGGUUUAUUGAAUAUAAGAAAGGAGCUUAAAAAUAACUCGGAUCAGUUAGAAAGUUUAACAAAAACAUUUCUAUUAGUAUAAAUGAAAGUAAGGCCUGCCCGGUGAUAUUUAACGGCUGCGGUAUUUUAACCGUGCUAAGGUAGCAUAAUCAUUUGUUAUUUAAUUGGUAGCUGGAAUGAAAGGUUAAACUAGCUUACUUGGUUUGUAAAGCUACAUAGGAAAUUUAAGUUAAGGUAAUAAUUCCUUAAUUUUCUAGGGGACGAUAAGACCCUAGAAGCUUAAUAAAUGAGUAUUUUUUUAGUGGCGAGUCGAAAUUUAUUUUACUGGGGGCGGUAUUAGUAUUUAAACUACUAGUUAGACAGGCAGAUCUUUUAUAUAAAGAAAAAGCGGAUAAGUUACUCUAGGGUUAACAGUGUGAUAUACUUGGAGAGGCCUUAUUGAUAAGUAUGAUUACAACCUCGAUGUU
rnacentral:rRNA from 1 species